rnacentral:rRNA from 1 species
CGUGCAGGAAGACUGCCCUAUGGGUUGUAAACUGCUUUUAUACAGGAAGAAACCUCUUUACGUGUGGAGAGAUGACGGUACUGUAAGAAUAAGGACCGGCUAACUCCGUGCCAGCAGCCGCGGUAAUACGGAGGGUCCAAGCGUUAUCCGGAAUUAUUGGGUUUAAAGGGUCCGUAGGCGGAUAAUUAAGUCAGAGGUGAAAUCUUGCAGCUCAACUGUAAAAUUGCCUUUGAUACUGGUUAUCUUGAAUUAUUGUGAAGUAGGUGGAAUAUGUAGUGUAGCGGUGAAAUGCAUAGAUAUUACAUAGAAUACCAAUUGCGAAGGCAGAUUACUAACAACAAACUGACACUGAUGGACGAAAGCGUGGGGAGCGAACAGGAUUAGAUACCCUGGUAGUCCACGCCGUAAACGAUGGACACUAGCUGUUCG